rnacentral:rRNA from 1 species
GAUGAACGCUGGCGGCGUGCCUAAUACAUGCAAGUCGAGCGAACGGACGAGAAGCUUGCUUCUCUGAUGUUAGCGGCGGACGGGCGAGUAACACGUGGAUAACCUACCUAUAAGACUGGGAUAACUUCGGGAAACCGGAGCUAAUACCGGAUAAUAUUUUGAACCGCAUGGUUCAAAAGUGAAAGACGGUCUUGCUGUCACUUAUAGAUGGAUCCGUGCUGCAUUAGCUAGUUGGUAAGGUAACGGCUUACCAAGGCAACGAUGCAUAGCCGACCUGAGAGGGUGAUCGGCCACACUGGAACUGAGACACGGUCCAGACUCCUACGGGAGGCAGCAGUAGGGAAUCUUCCGCAAUGGGCGAAAGCCUGACGGAGCAACGCCGCGUGAGUGAUGAAGGUCUUCGGAUCGUAAAACUCUGUUAUUAGGGAAGAACAUAUGUGUAAGUAACUGUGCACAUCUUGACGGUACCUAAUCAGAAAGCCACGGCUAACUACGUG